rnacentral:rRNA from 1 species
GUGAACGUUGGCGGUAGGCCUAACACAUGCAAGUCGAACGGCAGCACAGUAAGAGCUUGCUCUUACGGGUGGCGAGUGGCGGACGGGUGAGGAAUACAUCGGAAUCUACUUUUUCGUGGGGGAUAACGUAGGGAAACUUACGCUAAUACCGCAUACGACCUACGGGUGAAAGCAGGGGAUCUUCGGACCUUGCGCGAUUGAAUGAGCCGAUGUCGGAUUAGCUAGUUGGCGGGGUAAAGGCCCACCAAGGCGACAAUCCGUAGCUGGUCUGAGAGGAUGAUCAGCCACACUGGAACUGAGACACGGUCCAGACUCCUACGGGAGGCAGCAGUGGGGAAUAUUGGACAAUGGGCGCAAGCCUGAUCCAGCCAUACCGCGUGGGUGAAGAAGGCCUUCGGGUUGUAAAGCCCUUUUGUUGGGAAAGAAAAGCAGCAGGUUAAUACCCCGCUGUUCUGACGGUACCCAAAGAAUAAGCACCGGCUAACUUCGUG